AGUUCAAAGCAAGUGUUCAAACUGAGGGUGAAGAGCUCUGUGGAUCCCAACAACCCUGCUGUGAUGGAGGCAAUGCUGAAGCAGCUCAAACAGAAGCUGAAGGACCAGGGGGUGAAUGACGACGUCAGACUGAGCUUCAGGAAGCAGGCAGAUGGAAAAGCCUUCCACGAGGAGAAGAAGAAGAGCAGGAAGGACGAGCUCUAAUUGAGAUUUGCUGUUAAUCAGAGAAAAGUGUGUUUCUUUCCUCAGAGUCCUCGUGUGAUGUGUGAGAAUAGAGCUGCAACAAUUAGCAGAUUAAUCGACUCGUUGCAGCUGUUUUUAUAAUCAAAUCAUCAUUUUAGUCAUUUUACAAGUUUUUAUAAUCAAAUAUAAUCAUUUUAGUCAUUUUACAAGCUCUAAUGUCAAAUAUCUGCUGGUUCCAGCUUCUUUAAUUUAAAGAUUAAAUGCUUUUAUUGGUCAUAAACUAAUAUUUACUGAUAUUUAAACUUGUUUUAUUGAAAUAAAACAUUCAAAUUGAUCUGUUUGGGCUGUGGGAAAUGAUAACAGGCAAUGUUUUAUUUUUUUUCACAUUUUAUAGGUUAGAUAUUAUAAAUUAGAUCUGAUGGAAUCAACUCCAGUGAAAGUCCACCUUUAAACUUUAAUGUUAUUUCGAAUUAUUAGUAAAAAAAUCUUUCUUCAUUUGAGUGUAAUAUAUUAUAUCAAAACAUGCCAAACAGUUCUGGCUUUUCAAAUAUGAAUAUUUAUUAUUAUUUAAUAUUUAUUUGUUUUCUUUGUUAUAUAUGGUCAUAAACUUAUAUUUACUCAUAUUUAAACAUGUUGGUUUAUUAAAACAAGACUUCUGAAUUCAUGUGUGUGUGCUGUGGGGAUUUAUAACAGAGAUUUUUCACUAUUUUCUGACAUUUCAUAAAUAAGAUAAAUAAUAUUCGAUUACACAGAUUCAUAAAGUGUCAACAAUGAAUGAAUGAAAUGAAAUCAGACUUUUACAU